UCAUAAUUGCAGGUCUAGAUGUAUUUUGUUAGAUGGGCCAGAUCUGGACAUCUUCCAUUUGUGAAAAUUUUGGUUUGGUUUAAUCCAAGAUUGUGUGGCUGAUUAACCUAAUUCCUAGAGGCAGCAUAUAGAGCCAGUCCCCAUUCAGUCUUUGAUGUCAUUAGUGGCGUGCCUUGUUUAUCCAAAGUUCAGUUUGAUGCAUCAAUGCCCGGUUAUCUCAUUCAUAAAAAAAUCAGUUAAAUAUUUGUACCUUUGGCCAUAUUAAUGCUCGUUUCUGGCUUGAUGUUCUUUUGAGGUGUAGUUCAACUUGGGGGUUGCACAAUGGACUGCAGCAGGGGGUCAUUGACCUAUUUGGUUUGGAAGUGUUUUGUCAAACUAAUCUGGAUUUUCAAUGCUUCUCAUAGUUCUUCUCAACUUUGAUGAAUUUUGUAAUAUUGUGGCUCACAGGUUAGCAAGAGGUCUAACGAACGUAAUUGAUUGGUUUGAUUGCUACGAUAAGUUAUCCUAUGCCCAAUUUUCUUGAAAGUUUGCGUUUAUAUUGAUCUGUUGCUUAAGAUUUCUGUUUCCGAUUAUUUAUCGUUGGUAUGUCUGUCAUGACUUGAUGUAGUUCGGAUCGUGGAUUCAAUUUC